GGGAAGAAGUGAGGAGCGCCUCUGCCCGGCCACCCUGUCUGGGAAGUGAGGAGCGCCUCUGCCCGGCCGCUCCGUCUGGGAAGUCUACCACGGAGGCCAGAAGCAAUGUGGGGGCUGGACGUGGUGGCUCACGCCUGUGGUCCCGGCACUCUGGGGGGCGAGGCGGGUUGAUCACUUCGGGCUAGGAGUUCGAGACCAGUCUGGCCAACUUGGCGAAACAUGAAGAAUACAACAGACAAACCAACCAACCAACUCAGUGACAACAAAACAGGUCUACCCUGGAGUCAUACUCUAAUUUUUUCUAUUUUCCUCCCUUUCUGAUCCUUUAUCCCACUUUCUUUUUCUUCCUCUUCCUUCUCCCUCUUCUUUGUCAAAUAGAGGAUUGAGUUAUUAUCACUGAUCCGUAUAAAGUCCCUCUCUCAUUUAUUUUAACUCCCACCCCCAUUUCUAUUCCCUGACUUCCCAUGUGCAACCUUCCUAAUAUGUUUGAUACGCAUCUUUUUGUUUGUAUGUAUUUUUAGAAAAUGUUUAUUGUU